rnacentral:rRNA from 1 species
UGCAGUCGCACGAGAACGCUUCAGCUUGCUGAAGCUAGUAAAGUGGCGCACGGGUGAGUAACGCGUGGGUAAUCUACCUCCGAAUUGGGGAUAACAUUGCGAAAGCGAUGCUAAUACCGGAUAAAAUCCUUUAAGCCUCGGUUAAAAGGAUCAAAGGUGGCCUCUACAUGUAAGCUACUGUUUGGAGACGAGCCCGCGUACCAUUAGCUUGUUGGUAGGGUAAAAGCCUACCAAGGCGACGAUGGUUAGCUGGUCUGAGAGGAUGAUCAGCCACACUGGAACUGACACACGGUCCAGACUCCUACGGGAGGCAGCAGUGAGGAAUUUUGCGCAAUGGGGGAAACCCUGACGCAGCAACGCCGCGUGAGUGAUGAAGGCUUUCGGGUCGUAAAGCUCUGUCAAGUGGGAAGAAACCGCACCGUGCAAAUAGUACGGUGCGCUGACGGUACCACUGAAGGAAGCACCGGCUAACUCCGUG